rnacentral:rRNA from 1 species
AGGACGAACGCUGGCGGCGUGCUUAACACAUGCAAGUCGAGCGGUAAGGCCCUUCGGGGUACACGAGCGGCGAACGGGUGAGUAACACGUGGGUGACCUGCCCUCAGCUCUGGGAUAAGCCCGGGAAACUGGGUCUAAUACCGGAUAUGACCUCUCAUCGCAUGGUGAGUGGUGGAAAGUUUUUCGGCUGGGGAUGGGCCCGCGGCCUAUCAGCUUGUUGGUGGGGUGAUGGCCUACCAAGGCGACG